rnacentral:rRNA from 1 species
AUUGAACGCUGGCGGCAUGCUUUACACAUGCAAGUCGAACGGCAGCGGGGUAGUGCUUGCACUACUGCCGGCGAGUGGCGAACGGGUGAGUAAUAUAUCGGAACGUACCGAGUAAUGGGGGAUAACCAAUCGAAAGAUUGGCUAAUACCGCAUACGUCCUGAGGGAGAAAGCGGGGGAUCGCAAGACCUCGCGUUAUUCGAGCGGCCGAUAACUGAUUAGCUAGUUGGUGGGGUAAAGGCCUACCAAGGCGACGAUCAGUAGCGGGUCUGAGAGGGCGAAGCGCCACACUGGGAGUGAGACACGGCCCAGAGUCCUAGGGGAGGCAGUGGUGGGGAAUUUUGGAAGAUGGGGGGAACCCUGAUCCAGCCAUGCCGCGUGUAUGAAGAAGGGCUUCGGGUUGUAAAGUACUUUUGUUAGGGGAGAAAAGGGAAGUGCUAAUACCAGUUUUUGCUGACGGUACCUAAAGAAUAAGCACCGGCUAACUACGUG